CAAUAGUAGGUCACUUUGGAAGAGGUACCGGUUAUCAGGUACUUCAAAAAAAAAUAUUUUUGUCUUUUAAUACAUGGACAAUUUAGUCAUUUUACAUCUACUAUAUUUUCAAAAUUUUUAUUUCUUCUUUGUUUCCUUUUGCUCUCUCUAUCUUUCCUUUUAUAAUUUGGCAUUUCAUAUAAGAAAAAUUUCAAAUGAUUUGACAAUAUGAUUAUUGAAUUUAAACUUUAAAUAGUAAUAUAAAAUUUCUCUAAUUUAAAUUUCACUUUUAAAUUUAAAAUUUAAUAUUAUAUUCAAAUUUAUAUUUUAAAAAUUUAAGUUUCAUAUAAAUACUUUGAAAUAUGGUAAACAGAAAUAAUUGUUUGAAUUCUAGUCUUCUGG
rnacentral:lncRNA from 1 species